GACGAACGCUGGCGGCGUGCUUAACACAUGCAAGUCGAACGGAAAGGCCUCUUUCGGGGGGUACUCGAGUGGCGAACGGGUGAGUAACACGUGAGUAAACUGCCCUUGACUUUGGGAUAACUUCAGGAAACUGGGGCGAAUACCGGGUAGGAGCUCCUGCUGCAUGGGGGGGGGGGGGGAGAGUCGGCGGGUGGGGGUGGACUCGCGGCUCAUCAGCUUGUUGGUGGGGGAGUGGCUUAUCAAGGCUUUGACGGGUAGCCGGGCUGGGAGGGUGAGCGGCCACAUUGGGACUGAGAUACGGCCCAGACUCCUACGGGAGGCAGCAGUGGGGAAUAUUGCCCAAUGGGUGGGAGCCUGAUGCAGCAACGCCGUGUGCGGGAUGACGGCCUUCGGGUUGUAAACCGCUUUCGCUCAUGACGAAGCUUUGUGUGACGGUAGUGGGUAAAGAAGCACCGGCUAACUACGUG
rnacentral:rRNA from 1 species